rnacentral:rRNA from 1 species
AUAGGAAAUUAAGAGUAUAUGGUGGAUGCCUAGACUAAAAAAGGCGAUGAAAGACGUAGCAUGGCAGCGAUAUUUUUCGGGGAGGUGCCUAGCAACCUGUGAUCCGGAAGUUUCUGAAUGGGGAAACCCAAUUACGUAAACCGUAAUUAUCUUGAUACUUGAUAUCAAGAUGCAUACCCAGGGAAGUAAAACAUUUCAUUACCUGGAGGAAAAGAGAAAAAUAUUUAUUUUCUGAGUAGCGGCGAGCGAAAAGGAAAAAGCCCAAACCGGCAUAUCACACAGAGUACGAUUUUAUAAAUCGCAAGUUGUGUGAUUUGCCGGGGUUGUAAGGUGACAAUGUAGAUUUAUCUAGAGGAGUUACAAAAUGUGUUGUUAGAUUAAACUUCUGGAAAGAAGUGCCGUAGACGGUGAUAGCCCGGUGAUCGAAAAUAACAUGUCUCUUUGAUUGUCAUUCUUGAGUAGCUCAAGACACGAAUAGCUUGAGCGAAUCCGCCAGAACUAACUGGCAAGGCUAAAUACUUUUUUAGAUCGAUAGUGAACUAGUACCGUGAGGGAAAGGUGAAAAGAACCCCGAUAAGGGGAGUGAAAUAGACCUGAAACCGUAUGCUUACAAGGAGUCGGAGCGGACACGAUUUAUCGUGAUCCGUCACGGCGUGCCUAUUGAAGAAUGAGCCAACGAGUUUAUGCAUGCUGCAAGGCUAAGUUGUUUUGCAACGCAGUCGUAGGGAAACCGAGUGUUAAUAGCGCGACUAAGUAGUAUGCAUAAGACCCGAAGCCAGGUGAGCUACCCAUGUGCAGGAUGAAGUUCGCAGAAAUGCGGAUGGAGGUCCGAACCGGUGAGCCGUUCAACACUCUCGGAUGACAUGUGGGUUGGAGUGAAAAGCUAAUCGAACCUGGUAAUAGCUGGUUGUCUCCGAAAUAGCUUUAGGGUUAGCGUCAUGUGUUCCCUCUGGGGGUAGAGCACUGGAAGAUUUCGACAGGGCGCAAGCUCGCGAAAUCUAUCAAACUCCGAAUACCAGAGGUCAGAGCAUGGCAGUUAGACAGUGGGGGCUAAGCUCCACGCGUCAAAAGGGAAACAGCCCAGAUCUCUAAAUAAGGUCCCUAAAUCUACGUUAAGUGCAAACUAAGGAUGUGAAAUUUCUCUGACAAUGAGGAUGUUGGCUUAGAAGCAGCCAUCAUUUAAAGAAAGCGUAACAGCUCACUCAUCGAGAGAUUCUGCGCCGCAGAUAAUCGGGGCUAAACGUAGUACCGAAUUUGAGGAUUUAUAGUUUUUUCGAAAAUUGUAAGUGGUAGGAGACUAUUCCAUUCCGGCUGAGAAGGAGAAGGCGUGAGCCACUCUGGAGCGUAUGGAAGUAAAAAUGUUGGCACAAGUAACCGCAAGGAAGGUGAGAUCCCUUCCCGCCGAAAGACUAAGGUUUCCUUUGCUAUGAUAAUCAGCGAAGGGUUAGUCGGGCCUAAGGAGAUGGCGAAAGCCGCAUCCGAUGGACACAUGGUUAAUAUUCCAUGACUUCUAAUCUGUGCGAUGGGAGGACGGAGUGUAGUAUGUAUAGCUCAUUAUUGGAUUUGAGUUUGUGCUGUGAGUGUUGUGCGUAGGAAAAUCCGCGUACUGCCUUAGAUGGCAUAAUGCAAGCAGAGCAGAAAUGUGUGGGUUCGCCCAUGCAGAUUGUACAAAGCACGCUUCCGAGAAAAUUCCCUAAGCUUAACAGAUGAGAAACCGUACCGUAAACCGACACAGGUAGUCAGGUCGAGUAGACCAAGGCGAACGAGUGAGAGGUCCUCAAGGAACUCGGCAAAAAAGCGACCGUACGUUAGCAAUAAGGUCCGCCUUUCGCGAGAAAGGCUGCAACAAAAGAUUCCCAGGCAACUGUUUACCAAAAACACAGCUCCCUGCAAACUCGUAAGAGGAAGUAUAGGGGGUGAUGCCUGACCAAUGCCGGAAGGUCAACCAUGAUCGUUGCGUGCCGCAAGGUACGUGGUGAAUUAUGUAAGCCCCGGUCAAUGUCGGCGAUAACUAUAAUCGUCCUAAGGUAGCGAAAUUCCUUGUCUGGUAAGUUCAGACGCGCACGAAUGGUAUAACGAGUUGGGAACUGUCUCGAGGAUUUGCUCGGUGAAAAUACAAGGGCGGUGAAGAUGCCGCCUUCCUGCAGCUAGACGAAAAGACCCCAGAAGCUUUACUGUAGUUUGGUAUUGGGAUUACGGGUGCACCGCGUAGCGUAGGUGGGAGAGGUUGAAGCAGGAGUUUCGGCUCCUGUGGACUCGUCAAUGCAACACCACCCCUUGUUUCUGUAAUUUCUAACCAGGGCGGAGAAACCGUCUUGAGACAGUACCUGACGGACAGUUUCGGUGGGGCGCUGUCCUCCUAAAAAGUAACGGAGGAGCCUAUUAAGGUUACCUAGCCGCGAAUGGAAACCGUGGCGAUAGUGCAUUGGCAUAAGGUAGCUUGACUGUGAGACGUACAUGUCAAACAGGCACGAAAGUGGAGCAAAGUGAACCGACGGUUCGCAUUAGAUGCGACCGAAGAUUAACGGAUAAAAGUUACUCUGGGGAUAACAGGCUGGUACUGCCUAAGAGUCCAAAUCGACGGCAGUGUUCGGCACCUCGAUGUCGGCUCAUCUCAUCCUGGGGCUGGAGAAGGUCCCAAGGGUAUGGCUGUUCGCCAUUUAAAGAGGUACGUGAGCUGGGUUCAAACCGUCGUGAGACAGGUUGGUCUUAAUCUGCUGUAGGCGUUGAUUCUUGAGGGGAUUUGUUUCUAGUACGAGAGGACCGAAAUGAACGAACCUCUGGUCUGGGGGCUGUUACACCAGUAGCACCGCCCCGUAGCUAUGUUCGGAUUGGAUAACCGCUGAAAGCAUCUAAGCGGGAAGCCGACCCCAAGAUUAGGAAUCGUUAUAGGCCCGUGGGAGAUGACCACGUUGAUAGGCACCAGGUGUACGCACA